rnacentral:lncRNA from 1 species
AUGCUGUUGUUGAUGGAGGAAAUGACGACCCACCACCACCGAACCCACCCAAGCCGAAGCCAAAUCCAAACCCCGACCAGGCUGGUUCCUCUGGUAGCUUCUCAGAUGCUGACCUUGCGGAUGGUGUUUCAGGUGGAGAAGGAAAAGGAGGCAGUGAUGGUGGAGGAAGCCACUGGAAAGAAGGGGAGGAGGGUAGGUGCACCUGGCUUCUGCCGUCUUUCUUCUUGUCUCUCCCACGUGGUGAUGAGGAGGGGAAGCAGAAUGUCUGAGAGCUGGUGGACUACACUGGCAUUGGCCUCCUGAAGCUAUUGGCAGGAGACACGGGUGUUCUGUGCCAAGUGCUCCCAAGUGGUAUAGCCGCAGAGGUCCCCCCAGCAAACCAGCCCUGCUCCAGGUGCCCACGUGACCCAGAUUUUACAUUUGGUCAUCUGCCCAUGAUGCUCUGGCUGGCGAUCUGACCCCUACAUCAUGCUUAGCCUCGUCCUUGUGUUUACUAAAGCUCCUACACUCACCCUAACGAUCAGAAGCUUGUGACGCGGGAUCCUCGGUUGCGCUUGGCCCUUGAGAACGUCAGGGACCAGGUGGGAGGUGGGAAUGUGGAUCGCUCCCACCCUGGCCGUAACAGGCAUUGUGUUCUCCAUGAAAGUGCCGGUGAUGUAUCUCCUGUCUCCUUUUUCAUAACCUUUUCCCUUAGAUGGGACAAGAAAAUAACCACAGAAAGAAUUCCUUUUAGAACUGUAAAGACAAAAAAAUGAGGUAAGAGAAAGAGAAAGUAGGGAGGAAGGAAGGAGGGAAGGAGGGAUGGAGAGAGCGAAGGAAGGAGGAAAGAAGGGAAGAAGGAAGGAAGGGAGGGAAGGGAGGAGGAAGGGAGGAGGAAGGGAGGGAGGGAAGGGAAAGAGGGGAGGGACGGAGGGAAAGAAGGAAAGCAGGAGAAGGGAGGAGGAAAGGAAGGAAGGAAUGAAGGAGAAGGGAGGAAAGGAAGGAAGGAGAGAGGGAAACAGAAGAAAAGGAGGAAAAGAAGGAAAGAGGGAAGGAGAGAGGAGAGACAGAAGAGAGGGAGGGGCGAGGACAAUAGCUUCGUAUUUUAGUAUCUCAUAUCUCUAAAAUUCUCAGGGACUUUGCUUCUAGCAAAAUGCCUGGUUUUAAGCAACUUCUUUGGCAGAAGAGAUACUAAUUUGGCCAAAGAUUUUAACACCUGUUUGCCAUUUUAAUCACUGAUAAAAUGUGAAUUCUUAAAAUACGCAACGAAUGUUUGUGGAAAAAGAAAAGUGCGUAGUCUACCCUUGUUUUAGGUAGUUAUUAUUUUUAUGGAUACAGUUCUUGAAUUCUGGGCUUUCUUUGAAGAGGCAGUAAUCUGUCUGUAGCUCUCACCUGGGACUACAAGGUCAUUAAAAAAAUAGCUAAGAAAACCCAUGCCUGGCAUGUUUAUGUCAGGCCGUCGCUCUUGGCCUUCUGGAGAGUUCAUGUUUACUGUGCCACUUCAUCAGGGAGGGGUAGUUAAGCUUGAAAAAUCUUUCCAAGACAUGACUGUGUCCUGCACAUAUUAAAGACUGGCCAAGUGAACACACCACCCACAGACCAUGUUUGGAGCCAGUGUUUUUGCUGAAAGUCAGACAAUUCUCCUUCCCCGUUAUGGAGAAGAUUCUAUCUGGAGAAGGGUCCUCUAAAGCUCACAUCGGGCAUUUGGAAUUAAGAAUCUCUUCAUCGGCUGGGCGCCGUGGCUUACACCUGUCAUCCCAGCACUUUGGGAGGCUAAGGCAGGAGGAUCGCUUGAGGCCAAGAGUUCGAAAUCAGCCUGGCCAACAUAGUGAAACCCCUUCUCUACAAAAAAAAUACAAAAAUUAGGCCAGGUGUGGUGGCUCACGCCUGUAAUCCCAGCACUUCGGGAGGCCAAGGCAGGUGGAUCACUUGAGGUCAGGAGUUUGAGACCAGCCUGGUUAACAUGGUGAAACCCCAUCUCUACAAAAAAUACAAAAAUUAGCAGGGCGUGUAGCAUGCACCUAUAGUCCCAGCUACUCGGGAGGCACAAGAAUUGCUUGAACCCAGGAGGCAGAGGCUGCAGUGAGCUGAAAUCGUGCCACUGCACUCCAGCCUGGGUGACAAAGUAAGACUGCAUUUCAAAAAAAAAUUAGCCAGUGGUGGUGGCACACAUCUGUAAUCCCAGCUACUUGGGAGACUGAGGCAGGAGACUAGCUGGAACCCGGGACGCAGAGGUUGCAGUGAGCCGAGACUGCACCAUUGCACUCCAGCCUGGGCAACAUAACAAGACUCUGUCUCCCAAAAACAAAAAAGAAUUAUUGCUGGAAUGACAUUUAAAAAAAAAUAGGCUGGGUGUGGUGGCUCAUGCAUGUAAUCCCAGCAUUUUGGGAGGCCUAGGCCGGCAGGUUGCUUUGGGCUGGGAGUUCGAGAUCAGACUGGGCAACAUAGCAAGACCCCAAUUCUAUAAAACCACAAUAAUUAACCAGACAUGGUGGUGCACACCUGUAGUCCCAGCUACUCAGAAGGCUGAAGUGGGAGGAUCUCAUGAGCCCAAGAGUUCAAGACUGUGGUGAGCUAUGAUUGCAUCAUGGCACUGCAGCCUGUUUGACAGAGCAAGAACCCAUCUCAAAAUAAUAAACAAUAAUAAUAAUAAAUAGAGAUGGAUUUA